rnacentral:rRNA from 1 species
CCUACGGGAGGCUGCAGUGGGGAAUAUUGGGCAAUGGGCGCAAGCCUGACCCAGCAACGCCGCGUGAAGGAAGAAGGCUUUCGGGUUGUAAACUUCUUUUCUCAGGGACGAAGAAAGUGACGGUACCUGAGGAAUAAGCCACGGCUAACGACGUGCCAGCAGCCGCGGGAAUACGUAGGGGGAAAGCGUUAGUCGGAUUUAAUUGGGGGAAAUGGCGUGUAGGCGGGAUAGCAAGUCAGAUGUGAAAACCAUGGGUUCAACCUGUGUCCUGCAUUUGAAACUGUUUUUCUUGAGUAAUGGAGAGGCAGACGGAAUUCCUAGUGUAGCGGUGAUAUGCGUAGAUAUUAGGAGGAACACCAGUGGCGAAGGCGGUCUGCUGGACAGCAACUGACGCUGAGGCGCGAAAGCGUGGGGAGCAAACAGGAUUAGAUACCCGAGUAGUC